AGGGGCUGCCCAGGGAGGUGGAGGUUUGGAUUCCUCAUUCCUGGAGGUGUCCAAGGAAGGUCUGGAUGUUCAGGAGGAAUUUCCUCAUGGAGAAGGUUGUUCAAUGUUAGAAGGAGCUGCCCAGGGAGGUGGAGGAUGGAUUCCUCAUUCCUGGAGGUGUCCAAGGAAGGUCUGGAUGUUCAGGAGGAAUUUCC